UCUAGGGCACAAAAUUUUCAACAUUUCAAGCUCCUCUCUAAAAUCUCAUGCUCUCAAGCUCUAGAACUCAAAUGAAGGUUGGCUCUGAAGCUUCCAUAUCUUCCAAUCUCCAUCUCGAAGACCUGAAGCUAACAUUUUGAAGUCCCAUCUCGAAAGGUAAGAGCUCAAACUCUCAUCUCCAUUUCGAUUUCAUUUAGCUCAAACCCAAACUAAAUAGGAUUAUCUUUGAACUCUCUCUCUCUCUGCAAAAUAAGAACCCCAACUAGGAAAUUUGGUUAGAUUUCUGCAUUUGGAUAUUAGAUUAACUCAAAAUACCAUUAUUUUUCAGUAUUAACUCGACACAUCAUUGUUUUUCAGUUGCAAAAUAUGAACCCUAACUCUUAACUCUUUGGUUAGAAUCUUUUCACUUGACGCAACACUGAAAAUAGAUAUUUUAGGAAUUUGGGUGUUAUUAAAAUAUGAUAUUUGAACUCUGAAGUCUUUCAAUUUCAUUUAGCUUGAAGUAAGAUCGGUACUUUCUCAAAAAUAGGGGUUCUAGAAAUUUGAAUGUUCUAAAACCGGAGGUUUUCUCGAAGUAAAGUUUUCUGAAAAGAGGUGUUAUGAUUCAACUAAGCCUCUUGUCACAUUCAGUGAGAACCCCCUGGAUGAAACUAAUGUCGUCGUCCUCGAAGAGGACUUACACUAUCCCUUAACAUUCAUCAUUACAUGUCAUAGGUCAAAACACGGAAAAUUUAAAAAACUUUGACAUAUACCUAGUGAGGUUUACAUAGACUCUCACAUGAUAAAUAUACAUACUAAAUAUUGAGAGUUUACAUAGACUCUUCCCAUAGGACACUUACUUAGGCUUCUCUUUUAGACAACAUAAUCAAUAUACCAAAGAUAGUCUAAUAAGACCGUCUCACAUAAAACCAUCUAAAACGAGUACAACUUUGGACAUAGCCAUUACAAAUUCAAUACGCCAUAUAGGUUUACAUCAAUGUCUCAAAUGAUAAAGGAAAGAAACAUUGUCUUUAGACAAUAUAAUUACAAAGCUAGAAUAUAGAAAAGGUAACAUCCCCGAACAUAAGGACCUACCAACACUUGGAGAAAGAUGUCAAAGUCUUCUUCAAUCGUCCUCCUAGAAACUCAAUGGACGGAACCUACAUAUUUGUAGAAAAACAUAAGAGAUAUGGGUUAAUACACCACUUGUACCAAGUAUGGAAACAAUGAACAUAAAACAUUUGAAAGCAUGCAUGAAAGGGACCAUUUCUUUAGAAAACAUGCUAAGUCAUUUGGAAAGCCUUUAAUGCACAUACAAGAGAGCAUAUCACAAUAACAUAAAACAUGUUCAUAACCAAAGACAACUUCAAUCACAAGAAUCAUAUCAACAUAUCACACAAAACCCUUACAACAAUCCCAUCCCAAGCCUACAAGGGCAAUGCUCAUGUGAAGCCCCAUAACCCCACAUAAUCAAGUAAACAAGAUAGGAGAUCAUAAGUAAUGCUUUGCUACAUAACACAUAUCAUCAUCGGUAGUCAUCACCACAUAUAGAAAUUUAGAACAAUGUCAUAUUCAUUCAAUAUAUCCAACAUCAUAUAAGAGUAUCAUCAUAUAAAGUCAACAUUUCCUAUUACAUGAUAUCAUGAUACAGAAGACCAUCUCUUAGGGCUCCUUUUAGAGUUAACUUGUGCAAUAUCUAGGUAGAGACCCAUACCCCUAGCUAUCCUAAGUAGACCCCUCAAGUCACUCUAAUCAAUGUCCAUCUUCAUUUACAUUUAGGCAUUCAUUUUACUUUUGGGAAGAAUUGCCUUAACCAACAUAGACCAAAUGAGCUAAAUUUUGAAUCUGGUGUCAUGAAACCCUACACAGAAAGAAGGUGGUCUACUUACAAAAGUAGAACCAAACAUGUACAUAGAACUCUAGGUGGAUCCACUACCUAGUAUUCCUAUGGGGGCAACAUAGUUCAAGAACUAGGCUGUAUAGUAGAGACCCUCUUUAUGCUAUUAGCAUUGUGAUAUCUAUCUCUUGAGAACAUAGUGAACCUACCUUCCCACUUGGGAAGGGACACAUCUCACUACUAGUUCACUCGGUUCUAAGCUAGAGUCCCUUUUUUAUAAGCCUUUUAAGUUAACCAUAGUAUAUGGCAUAGGGACUAACCCCUUGUAUAGUCAUGUCAUUAUAUCAUUAUGUAUAGAAUGAGAUUUAUCUUUCAUAUACACCAUCAUUAGUGAAGUGAUCAUAAUCAAUUCAUAAUAAGGCACACAAGUGGUUCACAUUCAAACUUGCAUGAUCAUAUACCUCAAGACCUCACAACCAUCCUAUUCAUGUCAAGGCAUCAUAAUAAUCAUAUCAUAUUAGUCUCUAUAUAAUCACAUAGAAUACUUCAAUUGCACAUCAUCAUCAAGUAUAAUCCAUCAUCAUUGAAGUAAAGGAUUAAGAUCACAAAGUCCUACUAUAUAGCCUUCAUAAACUCUCUUCAAGAUCUUACCAUAAAUACAUCAUAAUUAUCCAGAAAUACACAUUAAAAUCAUCAUAAUAUAAUGAAUUAAACAAUAACAUAAUCAAUUCCAUCAACCUUAAUCAUCUACAAGUCCAAUUCAUAACUAGGGUUAGGAAAGAGGGUUCAAUUUAAGAGCUUUAAUGGAAACUAGGUUAAAGAUUAAUAACUACAACAAUUAACCAUUAAUCAAUCAUAAUCUAUCAAUAAUAAUUAAUGUAACAUCAUAAGAAAUCAACUUGAAAGACAAAUUACGAAAUUGGAAGAAAACCCAUCAUUGGAAGAACAUAUACAUCAUAUUUUUGAAAGAGCCUCCUGGGAAAAGGGUUCCCAAGAGUUAAUAGCUUCCAUACCUUACGAUUUCCUUGAGAAUUGAUGUAUAAAAUAUUAAUCUUGAAGCCCUAAUGCAGUUGAAGCUUGGUCUUGUGUGGAGUCUUUGGAAAGUGAGAGAAAGUAGAGAGAAGUUGAGAAAAUUGGGUUUGGGAAAUAUGGGGUGUUAGGUUAGUUUAAUGAAGGUUAGGUUUUAUAUAGUCCUUCAACUAACUUAAUUAACUAUCCCUUAACCCUUAAUUAACUAACUGACUAAUUAAGUCACUUAACUUAAAAACUAGGCAUUGAAACAGACCCAAUCUACGAGACCCCAACUUACGGUCUGUAGGUCCAUCGACGGCCCUGUACUGGCAAGGCGUUGCUUGGAUCAGAGAAUGUUCUUUUGGACUAGUUUGGAGAAUUUUCUAAGUUUCUACCUACGAGUCAUCGACGGCCCGUCAUUUGGCUCGUAGAUGAACAUUGUCAAGUUUAAAAGUUUUGGGUCGAAUGCAAGGGUCCUCUCCAAGGACCCUUAGGGUGGUCCUUAAGGAGUUUUACCCCUACGUUUCAACCCUAAAUACAUUCUGAUACUUGUUUAACACCUUUUUACCAUUUUCAUUAAAUUCCGACUCUUAAAACCUCAUAAAACAUGCCAAGACACACUAGCACACAUUUCACAAUUCUCCGAAUGUUUUAGUCGUUUCUUGACGUUUUGACUCUAACAGGUCUUUAUUAGUUCGAUACAUUAUUAUAGGCUUAGAAACUGUGUUUAAAGUCUUAUUUCAAUAUGUGAGUCUCUAGAUCAAGUCAUGGACUUCCGAAGUGUUACGCCUCUGGAGUUAGUUUAAGCAUUUUACAUUGAUUGUACACUUGUUUGUUUUAGUUUUAUAUUACAUGUAACUUUUAUAGUUGUGACUAUUGACUACCGACAUAUUCUCUCUAUAAAAGGUAUCUCUCUUUUUUUCACCUCUACAAUAGCUUUCUUUUCCAGUAAAAUGUGUUUAUAUAAAUCUUCUGUUUAUAUAUUUGUUUGAGUUUAUACACUAUAAAGUCAAGGCUAGAUGUGGUACAAUGAGUUGUCGCUGAAAUAAGUAACGUGAAACUUCAAUAUCAUAGUUAUAUAAUGAAAUAAAGGAUUUCUCAAAGUGUUGAAAUAAGCCUCAAUAAUCUGUUGAAAUAAGGAACUUCUCAGAAACAACAUUGGAUAAUCUAAUGUUCAUGUUGAAAUAAGGCUCAACUCAAGCUGACACAUAAUUAGUCGUAGAAUUGUUUGAAGUGUCUUGUUUCUCUGCCAAAUGUUUAGAUGUUGACACUACUUUGUUUUCUUAUGGUGCUUCAAGCGUAGAGCUGCCUGAUUUACUAAACAAGUAGUUAAUAAUAUAUUCUAACACGUGCAAGCUAACUCGACUAGAUGAAACUAUAGUCCUCAUGAUGAAAGAGGCAAAAUGAAGCAAAGAUCUUACAUUUCAUCAAUGUAUUGCUUGAUUAAUAUAACAAAGUGAAGUUUGUAAUAGUGUCUUGUAGGCCUUUACAUAUUCUUAAUUCAUCAAUUAAACUUGAGAAAUAAAAUUACAUAUUAUUGUUGUUCAUGUUCUUGUUAAUUACCAAGACAAUCUAAUGUUAAAAUGUUUUCGAUAUUUGCUACUAUAGCCUCAUCAUCAAGAUCUGGUUGAUAUUCGCUCGAAGUAAGCCUUGAUCUUCAUCUAUCUCUGAUUUAGCGCAAGAUUUAUGUUCCGAGGUAUUGACUUUAUUGAGUGUAACAAGGAUGAAGAUUGUUGUCAUUAUCUUGGGACUGUUUGAGUUAGAGAAUUUCUUUAAGAGAUUAAUGAAACGUAUGGAGAAUUCUUAUUCUUUUGUUGUUAGUGUUUUUGGCGACUAGAUCUUGUUGGAGAAAUGCAUUUCUAAAUUUUAACUUGUUCAUUGGUUUUAUUUGCCAGAAGAAUGGAUUCUAGACUUUAACUUCUUUCAUUAAUUUCAUUUGUUGGAGGAAUUUUGUACUUAUAGAGAAAAUUCAUGUGAUUGUCUUAUAAAUUGUCUUUUUGAAAUAAAGAUUCUUGUUUUUUGCUAAUUUUUUGGACAUAGAGGGUGCUAGAGGCUUUUAAUGUUCAUAUUUCAU
rnacentral:lncRNA from 1 species